AUGUACCGCGCGUCCACUGCGGUUGUGAGCGCGCCCUCCGCGCCCACCUGACAGCUGCUCGCGACGUUUUUGUUAGAA
rnacentral:sRNA from 1 species